rnacentral:tRNA from 3 species
GGGCUGUUAGCUCAAUCGGUAGAGCAGCGGACUUUUAAUCCGACGGUUGUGGGUUCAAGUCCCGCACGGCCCACCA